rnacentral:tRNA from 1 species
GCUGUAGCUUAGUGGCAGAGUUCUUGCCUAGCAUGCAUGAGAAGUUGGGUUCAAUCCCCAGCACAUGCA